UCCAGUCCAAGGUAGAGGUUUUGUGUUCAGUCAGACAGCUCUCGUGUCCACAAGAUGCUCUCCACUGUCAACCAGUUGGUCCUGGAAUGAGGGUGUGGAAGCUCUGCAAAUUGAGGUCAGCUGAACUUGAUGAGAAGAGGAUUGAAGAGGAGGAGAUCCAGAAAACAUCACUGAGAAUAUACCGUGAGCUCACAGAGAGGCGAUGAGGUUGCUCUCCAGUCAUGGGGUCCUAGUACAUGAGUUAUUCACUCACUGGCAGCAUGUAAGGAUUAAUUCCAGACUUACAGGAAGAGGACACCAUCGGUUUAUGCCUUGACCAGAUCAAUAGGCAACAUUUUUUUCAGCAUAGCAGUCAAUACGCCAAACUUAAGGUGUCUGAGGAGACUAAAGAACACCAAUAAUUGUUAUUAAUGCCUUGGAUGUCCCUAAGCAUUACAUUUAGAGGCAUUCCCCAUCUAAAAGACAUUCAGCCAUCACAUACAGUACAUAUCCCACAAAGGCCUACCAGGCUCUAGUAAAGUGUCUGUGAAUGCUCUGUACAAGAAUGUUAACACAAAUCAUUUGUUUUCCAAAAUGCCUGAUAUGCCUGCAGUGUCAUUCAGGGGGAUUUUGAGUCACGCUAAUGGUGUGGAUGGCAAUGUUGCUUGGUCCAAAAUAAAACAUCGUAGAUGGAUUACCAUG